UACAGAGGUCCCGAGCGUUGUUCGGAUUCACUGGGCGUAAAGGGUGCGCAGGCGGGUUUGCAAGUUCGAUGUGAAAGCCCCGGGCUUAACCCGGGAAUGGCAUUGGAUACUGCAGAUCUGGAGGAUCGGAGGGGGGACUGGAAUUCUUGGUGUAGCAGUGAAAUGCGUAGAGAUGUGGAGGAACACCGAUGGCGAAGGCAGCCCCCUGGGUCAACACUGACGCUCAUGCACGAAAGCGUGGGGAGCAAACAGG
rnacentral:rRNA from 1 species